rnacentral:rRNA from 1 species
UACAGAGGUCGCAAGCGUUGUUCGGAUUCAUUGGGCGUAAAGGGUGCGUAGGCGGCGCGGUAAGUCGGGUGUGAAAUCUCGGAGCUUAACUCCGAAACUGCAUUCGAUACUGCCGUACUUGAGGACUGGAGAGGAGACUGGAAUUUACGGUGUAGCGGUGAAAUGCGUAGAUAUCGUAAGGAAGACCAGUGGCGAAGGCGGGUCUCUGGACAGUUCCUGACGCUGAGGCACGAAGGUCAGGGGAGCAAACGGG